GAUGAACGCUGGCGGCGUGCCUAAUACAUGCAAGUCGAGCGAACAGAUAAGGAGCUUGCUCCUUUGACGUUAGCGGCGGACGGGUGAGUAACACGUGGGUAACCUACCUAUAAGACUGGAAUAACUCCGGGAAACCGGGGCUAAUGCCGGAUAACAUUUAGAACCGCAUGGUUCUAAAGUGAAAGAUGGUUUUGCUAUCACUUAUAGAUGGACCCGCGCCGUAUUAGCUAGUUGGUAAGGUAACGGCUUACCAAGGCAACGAUACGUAGCCGACCUGAGAGGGUGAUCGGCCACACUGGAACUGAGACACGGUCCAGACUCCUACGGGAGGCAGCAGUAGGGAAUCUGCCGCAAUGGGCGAAAGCCUGACGGAGCAACGCCGCGUGAGUGAUGAAGGUCUUCGGAUCGUAAAACUCUGUUAUUAGGGAAGGACAAAUGUGUAAGUAACUGUGCACGUCUUGACGGUACCUAAUCAGAAAGCCACGGCUAACUACGUG
rnacentral:rRNA from 1 species